GAACGCACAUUGCGCCCCUUGGUAUUCCAUGGGGCAUGCCUGUUCGAGCGUCAUCUACACCCUCAAGCUCUGCUUGGUGUUGGGCGUCUGUCCCGCCUUUUGCGCGCGGACUCGCCCCAAAUCCAUUGGCAGCGGUCCUUGCCUCCUCUCGCGCAGCACAAUUGCGUUUUGAAAGGGGUGCGGGUCGCGUCCACGAAGCAACAUUACCGUCUUUGACCUCGGAUCAGGUAGGGAUACCCGCUGAACUUAAG
rnacentral:misc_RNA from 1 species